GUGCGUGUAUAGUUUGUGUAUAUAUAUAGUGUGUAUAGUGUGUGUUUAUAGUGUGUAUAGUGUGUGUGUAUGUAUAUAUAGUGCGUGUAUAGUGUGUGUAGUGUGUGUGUAUAUAUAGUGUGUGUAGUGUGUGUGUAUAUAUAGUGUGUGUAUAGUGUGUCAAUGUAUAUAUAGUGUGUGUAGUGUGUGUGUAUAUAUAGUGUGUGUAUAGUGUGUCAAUGUAUAUAUAGUGUGUGUAGUGUGUGUGUAUGUAUAGUGUGUGUAGUGUGUGUAUAGUGUGUCAAUGUAUAUAUAGUGUGUGUAGUGUGUGUGUAUGUAUAGUGUGUGUAGUGUGUGUAUAGUGUGUCUGUAUAUAUAGUGUGUGUAGUGUGUGUAUAGUGUCUGUAUGUAUAGUGUGUGUAGUGUGUGUAUAGUGUCUGUAUGUAUAGUGUGUGUAGUGUGUGUAUGUAUAUUUAGUGUGUGUAUAGUGUGUCAGUGUGUAUAAAGUGUUUGUAUAGUGUGUGUAGUGUGUGUGUGUGUAUAUAUAGUGUGUGUAGUGUAGCAAUGUAUAUAUAGUGUGUGUAUAGUAUAUAUAGUGUGUGUAGUGUAGCAAUGUAUAUAUAGUGUAUGUAUAUAUAGUGUGUGUGUAGUGUGUGUGUGUGUAGUGUGUGUAUGUAUAUAUAGUGUGUGUGUAGUGUGUGUGUGUGUAGUGUGUCUAUGUAUAGUGUGUGUGUAGUGUGUGUGUGUAGUGUGUCUAUGUAUAGUGUGUGUGUAGUGUGUGUGUAGUGUGUCUGUAUAGUGUGUUUGUAGUGUAUGUUUAUGUGUGUGUAUAGUGCUUGUGUGUAGUGUGUGUGUGUAUAGUGUGUGUAAUUGUGUAUGUGUAUAUAAUGUGUGUGUGUGUAUAUAAUGUGUGUAUAGUGUGUAUGUAUAAUGUUUGUGUGUAUAAUGUGUGUAUAUUUUGUAUAAUGUGUGUGUAUGUGUGUAUAUAAUGUGUGUGUAUAUUGUGUAUAGUGUGUGUAUAUAAUGUUUGUAUAGUGUGUGUGUGUACAGAGUGUGUGUUUGUGUAUAAUGUGUGUGUAUAUAAUGUGUGUAUGUAUAAUGUGUGUAUAUUGUGUAUAUAAUGUUUGUAUAGUGUGUGUAUAUUGUGUAUAGUGUGUGUAUAUAAUGUGUGUAUAUUUAGUGUUUGUGUGUAUAGUGUGUGUAUAUUUAGUGUUUGUGUGUAUAAUGUGUGUAUGUAUAAUGUGUGUAUAUUGUGUAUAUAAUGUUUGUAUAGUGUGUGUAUAUAAUGUGUGUAUAGUGUGUGUAUAUUUAGUGUUUGUGUAGUGUGUGUGUAUUUAGUGUGUGUAGUGUGUGUGUGUGUAGAGUGUGUGUAUUUAUAGAGUAUGUGUGUAUAUAGUGUGUGUGUAGUGUGUGUAUAAUGCGUGUUGUGUGUGUGUGUAUAUAUAUAGUGUGUGUGUAUAGUGCAUGUAGUGUGUGUGUGUAUAUAUAUAGUGUGUGUGUAUAGUGCAUGUAGUGUGUGUAUGUAUAUAUAUAGUGUGUGUGUGUAUAGUGCAUGUAGUGUGUGUGUGUAUAUAUAUAGUGUGUGUGUAUAGUGCAUGUAGUGUGUGUAUGUAUAUAUAUAGUGUGUGUGUGUAUAGUGCAUGUAGUGUGUGUAUGUAUAUAUAUAGUGUGUGUGUAUAGUGUGUGUAGUGUGUAUAGUGCGAGUAGUGUGUGUGUGUGUAUAUAUAUAUAGUGUGUGUGUAUAAUGUGUAUAGUGCGUGUAGUGUGUGUAUAUAUAUAGUGUGUGUAUAGUGCGUGUAGUGUGUGUAUAUUUAGUGUGUGUAUAGUGUGUGUAGUGUGUAUAGUGCGUGUAGUGUGUGUAUAAUGUGUGUAGUGUGUAUAAUGUGUGUAGUGUGUAUAGUGCGUGUAGUGUGUGUAUAUAUAGUGUGUGUAUAAUGUGUGUAGUGCGUGUAGUGUGUGUGUAUAAUGUGUGUAGUGUGUAUAGUGCGUGUGUAUAUAUAGUGUGUGUAUAAUGUGUGUAGUGCGUGUAGUGUGUGUGUAUAAUGUGUGUAGUGUGUAUAGUGCGUGUGUAUAUAUAGUGUGUGUAUAAUGUGUGUAGUGCGUGUAGUGUGUGUAUAAUGUGUGUAGUGUGUAUAGUGCGUGUGUAUAUAUAGUGUGUGUAUAAUGUGUGUAGUGCGUGUAGUGUGUGUAUAAUGUGUGUAGUGUGUAUAGUGCGUGUGUAUAUAUAGUGUGUGUAUAAUGUGUGUAGUGUGUAUAGUGCGUGUGUAUAUAUAGUGUGUGUUUAGUGUGUGUAUAUAGUGUGUGUGUAGUGUGUGUAUAGUGCAUGUAGUGUAUGUGUAUAGUGUGUAGUGUGUGUAUAGCGCGUGUAGUGUGUGUAUAGUGCGUGUAGUGUGUGUGUAUAGUGUGUGUAGUGUGUGUGUAUAGUGUGUAUAGUGCGUGUAGUGUGUGUAUAGUGCAUGUAGUGUGUGUAUAGUGCGUGUAGUGUGCGUAUAGUGUGUGUGUGUAGUGCGUGUAGUGUGUGUGUAGUGUGUGUAUAGUGCGUAUAGUGUGUGUGUAUAUAUAUAUAUAUAGUGUGUGUGUGUGUAGUGUGUGUAUAGUGCGUAUAGUGUGUGUGUGUGUAUAUAGUGUGUGUGUAUAUAUAGUGUGUGUGUAGUGUGUGUAUAUUGCAUAUAGUGUGUGUGUAGUGUGUGUAUAGCGCGUAUAGUGUGUGUGUAUAUAUAGUGUGUGUGUAGUGUGUGUGUAUAUAUAUUUUGUGUGUGUGUAGUGUGUGUAUAGUGCGUAUAGUGUGUGUAUAGAGUGUGGGUAUAGUGUGUUUGUAUAUAUAGUGCGUGUAGUGUGUGUGUGUGUAGUGUGUGUAUAUAUAGUGUGUGUAUAGUGCGUGUAGUGUGUGUAUAGUGCGUGUAGUGUAUGUGUAUAGUGUGUAGUGUGUGUAUAGUGCGUGUAGUGUAUGUGUGUAGUGUGUGUGUAGUGCGUGUAGUGUGUGUGUAGUGUGUGUGUGUAGUGCGUGUAGUGUGUGUGUAGUGUGUGUGUGUAGUGCGUGUAGUGCAUGUAGUGUGUGUGUGUGUAGUGCGUGUAGUGUGUGUGUAUAUAUGGUGUGUGUGUGUAGUGCGUGUAGUGUGUGUGUGUGUAUAUAUAUAGUGUGUGUAUAGUGUGUGUGUAGUGCGUGUAGUGUGUGUGUGUAUAUAUAUAUAGUGUGUGUAUAGUGUAUAUAGUGCGUGUAGUGUGUGUAUAGUGCGUGUAGUGUGUGUAUAGUGCGUAUAGUGUGUGUAUAGUGUGUGUGUAUAUAUAGUGUGUGUAGUGUGUGUGUAUAUGUAGUGUGUGUGUGUAUAUAUAGUGUGUGUAUAGUGCGUGUAGUGUGUGUGUAUAUAUAGUGUGUGUAUAGAGUGUGUGGGUAUAGUGUGUUUGUGUAUAGAGUGUGUGGAGUGUGUGUAUAGUGUGUGUGUUUAUAGAUUGUGUGUAGUGUGUGUAUAGUGUGUGUGUAUAUAUAUAGUGUGUACAGAGUGUGUGUACAGAGUAUGUGUAUAGAGUGUGAGUGUAGUAUGUAGAGUGUGUAUAGUGUGUGUGUGUGUGUAUAGAGUUUGUGUGUAGUGUGUGUGUGUGUGUGUAUUAUAAAAAUAAUACUUAUCUAUUAAUUUAGCGAGUAUGGUUAGUAUUCCCUAUGAAAAAAAGCAUUUUCACAUAUAUGAUCUGAUCCCGCAUAUUUUAAUAGUGGGAAAUACUUGUCUUAUGGUAUUUAGAGUUUUUAUUUGGGAUUUUGUUAAAAAUGCUCACAUUUUCUUUUUAUGAUGUGCUAUACUUACCACAGAUGGGGCCACAAAAUGUGAAAGGAAUAAUAUGGUUCUCUUGGCAAACAUUUUUUUUUUCGUUCUCCAGUUCUGUUUUGAAUGUGGUUGUUAGUCUCCCUUGGAAUUUAGGGUGCUUCCACGUUAGGGCAUUUACCAAAGACAAGAAGUACACAUGUACACAUUUCUUAAAAAAAAAAAGAA